rnacentral:rRNA from 1 species
CCUACGGGAGGCAGCAGUGGGGAAUAUUGCACAAUGGGCGCAAGCCUGAUGCAGCCAUGCCGCGUGUAUGAAGAAGGCCUUCGGGUUGUAAAGUACUUUCAGCGGGGAGGAAGGGAGUAAAGUUAAUACCUUUGCUCAUUGACGUUACCCGCAGAAGAAGCACCGGCUAACUCCGUGCCAGCAGCCGCGGUAAUACGGAGGGUGCAAGCGUUAAUCGGAAUUACUGGGCGUAAAGCGCACGCAGGCGGUUUGUUAAGUCAGAUGUGAAAUCCCCGGGCUCAACCUGGGAACUGCAUCUGAUACUGGCAAGCUUGAGUCUCGUAGAGGGGGGUAGAAUUCCAGGUGUAGCGGUGAAAUGCGUAGAGAUCUGGAGGAAUACCGGUGGCGAAGGCGGCCCCCUGGACGAAGACUGACGCUCAGGUGCGAAAGCGUAGGGGAGCAAACAGGAUUAGAUACCCUGGUAGUCCACGCCGUAAACGAUGUCGACUUGGAGUUGUGCCCUUGAGGCGUGGCUUCCGGAGCUAACGNGUUAGCGACCGCCUGGGGAGUCGGCGCAAGGUUAAACUUCAAAUGAAUUGACGGCUUGGNGNGNGCGAGCGACGACGAGGAGAGG